rnacentral:rRNA from 1 species
UUGGGUGACGAGCGGCGGACGGGUGAGUAAAGUCUGGGGAUCUGCCUGAUGGAGGGGGAUAACUACUGGAAACGGUAGCUAAUACCGCAUGACGUCUUCGGACCAAAGUGGGGGACCUUCGGGCCUCACGCCAUGAGAUGAACCCAGAUGGGAUUAGCUGGUAGGUGAGGUAACGGCUCACCUAGGCGACGAUCCCUAGCUGGUCUGAGAGGAUGACCAGCCACACUGGAACUGAGACACGGUCCAGACUCCUACGGGAGGCAGCAGUGGGGAAUAUUGCACAAUGGGGGAAACCCUGAUGCAGCCAUGCCGCGUGUGUGAAGAAGGCCUUCGGGUUGUAAAGCACUUUCAGCGGGGAGGAAGGCGAUAAACUUAAUAAGUUUGUUGAUUGACGUUACCCGCAGAAGAAGCACCGGCUAACUCCGUGCCAGCAGCCGCGGUAAUACGGAGGGUGCAAGCGUUAAUCGGAAUGACUGGGCGUAAAGCGCACGCAGGCGGUGUGUUAAGUUGGAUGUGAAAUCCCCGGGCUCAACCCGGGAACAGCAUUCAAAA